AUUGAACGCUGGCGGCAUGCCUUACACAUGCAAGUCGAACGGCAGCGGACCUUCGGGUGCCGGCGAGUGGCGAACGGGUGAGUAAUAUAUCGGAACGUACCUUUCAGUGGGGGAUAACGUAGCGAAAGUUACGCUAAUACCGCAUAUUCUGUGAGCAGGAAAGCAGGGGAUCGCAAGACCUUGCGCUGAUUGAGCGGCCGAUAUCAGAUUAGCUAGUUGGUGAGGUAAAGGCUCACCAAGGCGACGAUCUGUAGCGGGUCUGAGAGGAUGAUCCGCCACACUGGAACUGAGACACGGUCCAGACUCCUACGGGAGGCAGCAGUGGGGAAUUUUGGACAAUGGGCGCAAGCCUGAUCCAGCCAUGCCGCGUGAGUGAAGAAGGCCUGGUUGUAAGACUCUUUCGUCCGGGAGAAAGUACGCACAGGUAAGUACCCUAGUGUGGA
rnacentral:rRNA from 1 species